rnacentral:rRNA from 1 species
AUGUUCUGCUUCUGUUUUGAGACAUGGAUUGUGCUGGAGCAUGAGAAGCAAGGCCAGAAGCAAGAGUCGCUGUUUGAUACCUUCUGGCUGAUGACAUUCUUUGAAUCAAUAUCCCUUGUUGGAAGUCAAGGAAUCACAAACUUAUUGCUUGAUGAUGAUAACAAAGGAAUCUUGCUUCCGUAUACGUUUGCAGCCUUAGUGUCAGUAAUAGGAAUAUUGUAUAUCAGAAAAGCACCAAGUAUCAGUACCGCCCAUCAUGCAUCUGUCAUUGGAAGCUACCAAAAAUCAUUUUAUGCUCAUGUCCUCAGAGCAAGACAAAAGAGUGCUGAUUCUGGUCUUAGCUCAAGCAAGUGUCCAGUUCUCUGUAUCAGCCUUUUGGUUCCUCUGGGCACCAACGAUAGUGGGUUUGAUUGA